AAAGAAGCUUCAUCCAGACACGAAUAAAGGUGAUGCGGAUGCAGAACGGAAGUUUCAAGAGGUUCAACGAGCUUAUGAGACUUUGAAGGAUGAGCAAAAAAGAUCAUUCUAUGAUCAGGUUGGUGCUGAUCAAUAUGAGAAAGCUUCUGCUGCUGGAGGCGGAACUGGCAACCCAUUUGAGGGUGGUUUUGGAAAUCCAUUUGAGGGUAUUUUAUAGCGGCG